rnacentral:rRNA from 1 species
AGUGAACGCUGGCGGUAGGCCUAACACAUGCAAGUCGAACGGCAGCACAGAGGAGCUUGCUCCUUGGGUGGCGAGUGGCGGACGGGUGAGGAAUACAUCGGAAUCUACUUUUUCGUGGGGGAUAACGUAGGGAAACUUACGCUAAUACCGCAUACGACCUACGGGUGAAAGCAGGGGACCUUCGGGCCUUGCGCGAUUGAAUGAGCCGAUGUCGGAUUAGCUAGUUGGCGGGGUAAAGGCCCACCAAGGCGACGAUCCGUAGCUGGUCUGAGAGGAUGAUCAGCCACACUGGAACGGAGACACGGUCCAGACUCCUACGGGAGGCAGCAGUGGGGAAUAUUGGACAAUGGGCGCAAGCCUGAUCCAGCCAUACCGCGUGGGUGAAGAAGGCCUUCGGGUUGUAAAGCCCUUUUGUUGGGAAAGAAAUCCAGCCGGCUAAUACCUGGUUGGGAUGACGGUACCCAAAGAAUAAGCACCGGCUAACUUCGUGCCAGCCGCCGCUGUAAGAC